AACAAUGAUGAACUAUCCCGAACCUGACUUGCUGAUGUCAAACUCUUUAUGGAUCUGACUGCUGAUGU